CAUAUUAUCAUAACGUAGCAUAUUAUCAUAACGUAGUGGAUUACAUGUCAGAGAUCAGAUGACACCCGAAGGUGACCAGAUGACACCCGUCGGUGACCACUGUGGGAUGAUCAAUCACCACAGGCUGAUGCCUCUCUCAUCAGCUAGGUAUACAGAAUACUGUGUGCACACAGGCUAACUAUUCUCCGUUAGCAUGGAGUUACUGACAAGUCCCAUAUCAAGGCAUAACAGAUAUUCACAUAAUCAUCAAAGAAGCGUAUAUCAUAUCAAAUAGAAUUUACUUUAACAGAUUGCGAGUGCAAAUUCAAGAAUAAAUGAGUACUCGGAAAAUAAAGCAACAUAUAUAAAUAUUCAAGAAAUUUACUAGUUGUACUCAUUGUAUAAUCAACAUAUAUAUUUAUUU
rnacentral:lncRNA from 1 species